rnacentral:lncRNA from 1 species
AGCUCCAACUGGGGCGACUUGUGGAGGGUGGUUCCUGGGACAACGCCCAUGCCGUGAUCAGGAACGGGGUCAGCAGGAGUCAGGUGGGGAAGUGCCAGGUGUCCACUGCCACGACCAACACGUUACUCACACUCACGGCACAAGAAUGGCCUCUGUACCCUGUGUGUAGGUAGGUCAGAAGCUUUUUUGUUUGUAUUUUAUGACUUUUAUAGAGUUAUGAUGACAUGUAUUUUUCUCAAAUUUUCAUAGCUGUCUCUCUAAUGAACUACAAAGUAGGGCGUUCAUGGUCCUUCUGGGAGGUGUGUGACUAAUGCGGGAAUUUCAAGCACCAUGACAGGGCGAAGGGAGCAGAAAUUCUGCAGGAAAACCGGGGGGCGGGGAGAACAGUGAUGUGACAUCAUUAGGCUGAGAAAGAGGUAGAUAUGGGUCCUCGUAGCAAACAGGAAUGACACUGGUUAACAUUGAAGGUACUCUCUCUCAAGUGUGUCAGGCUCUGUCCUAAGCUUGACCUGCAUCCUUCCAUUGGAACUUCCAGACGACUCUCCGAGGUGGUGUCCCAUUUCUCUGUACAGGCAUAUCCAGGCACAGUCGCUUGUAUGUCUGAGACCUCAAGCUGGAGAGUGCUGAUGGCCAACAUGCUGGUCACCUCUCCACAGUCCUUCCUCCUCCUGGACAACACCCCUGCUCUCUCUGGAUGGUCCUGAGCUAAGCCCGGAAGGUGAAUCACAGGGGUCUAAGUCAAUCGCGGGAUCCCACCUCUCUGCCUGUGAUUGGUGGACAUUGAGCCACUUCUGACCAAUGACGUGCAAGGGAUGUGCUUGGGGGAUUCUGGGAAAAUCUUUUCUCUGUAAAGAGAGGGGGCUCAUGAGGAGCAUGUUUUCUCCCCUGGCCUCAUCCCCUCCUGCCCUGGGCAUUGUCACCUGACCCCUCCUCCCCACCUCCACUGCCACCACCUUAAUCCAAAGCACAGCAUCCUGUGUUCGUUUGCUUGGAAUAUUCUGGUCUUCUCCUCCCUGGUCUCAUGCAGCCCGAGGAUUCUGCUCAAAUCCAAGUCAGGCCGUGUUGCUCCUCUGCUCGGAGCCCUCCAGGGAUUUCCCAUCUCACACUGAGUCAAAGCCCAAGACCCCAUCACUCCCCACAGGACCCCACUGACCCCCGCCCCUCCCCGCACCCUCCCCUGCGUCUCUCCCUUCCACUCACUGUCCCAGCCACCCUGGUUUCCUCACAGGCCCUUGACCUCCCCGGCAGCUCCGUCUCAGGCCUCUGCACGAGCUGCUCCCUGUGCAGGGAAUGAUCUACCCUAGUAACCCCCAUGGAUCCCUCCGUCCCCCAGGUCUCUGUUCACAAGUCUCCAUCUCCACUAGGCCUUCCCUGUCACAGUGUCUAAAAUGCAACCCUCCCCAUGCCCUGGGCCCCCACCUCUUCCCAGUUUAGUUUCUCUGAUACACUACCUGGUACACCGAGCUAUUUGGUUUGCUGUUCCGCUUGCCCAACCAGAACAGCAGCUCUACGGCGGCUUUGUCUCCCUCAUGGGCCCCCUUUUGGGGCCUGGGGCAGUGCUGGGCACGUGGCUAUCCCCAAAUAAAUAAUGACUGAAUAAGUGAAUGAAUGUACAUGGGGGCUGUGACAAUGUGUGACCAUGAGGGAUGCCUUGGGGGCCACAUGAGGCCAGAGGAGACUGGGCAGUGGCUUGGUGACUCUGUGGAGCCCCUGCCUGGCCAUGGCCCUCCCGCCUCCAGAGUUCUCCUAAGGGGUAAGAAAAGGCCUCCAUUGCUGGCACCUUCACCCACCGCAUCUCCCGUUGUUGCAGCCACAAUUUUCUUACAAGGACAGUGGCUGGAUUUGAGCCCAGGCUGUGUGGCUCCAGACCUAAGCCCAGGGCUUUGUCUGGGGUGUGGCCCAGGGGCAGGUCCUUGGGUGUGUGAGGGUGGCUUGGCUCAGCUCCUCUCCCUAGGUCACUGCAGCGGCCCUGUGCUGUUCUGUUUUCCCAUCCAGAAGUCCUGAGGGUCUCAGCAGAGGGGCCCAGGAUCCAAGUCCAUCCACUCCCAGGGCGGGUCCCUAGCCAGCCUCUGCCCAGCAUGUGGUGUGGAUGCUGCCAUAUCCUUCUGCUUCCUGAAAUGUUUCCCUUCCAGAACUUUCCAGGCCCAGGUUCCCCAUGCGGGGCUGCCUGAGCACCCCCACCCUAUGGCCAGCCCUGCUGCCCUGGCUUCCACCUCCAGAUCCUUCCUGCCAUGUCCCCCUCCAAUCAGAGCCGACCCACACUGUGUCCCUCCCAGUGGCUCUACUGCCUACUGAACACGUGCACCAUCACCGCCGUGGGGCCCACAGGUUCAAGGCUAUAAAGAGGGACUGAGAACACCGUGACGCCCUGGCCUGCGCACCCUCCUCUGCUCCAUCUGGGUCUGUCCGGAUGGCAGAGGCUCAGAGGGUCUGCCCCUACCAGAUGGUGGAGGCUCAGAAUGUCUGAGCCAGAAAAAGCAUGAAAGAAAACUUAGCCUUCCUCCUCCCAGUUAACAGGCUGGGUCCUGAGGGCACAGUGUCCAGCACGGAGGACACACAGUAAAUAUUCCCAGAAGGAGUGAUGGGUGAACGAAUAAAUAGAAUCUCACCCUGCCACCAUGAUUAAAUUCAGCCCCAAACUUACCUGUCCCAUUGUUUCCAUAUCCUGCCACCUCUGAGGCCUAAUCUGAAGAACUGAUUUGUGCCAGUGGACGAGCACUAUUUCUCUAGGUGAGACAUGCAGGUGUCAACAGGAAAUGUCCUGAGAUGUAAUUCUUCAACCCAGGAAGCCACUCCAAUCAAGAGAACAUAAAGCAAUGGUGAUGGGAUGUGGGGGUUCCAUGGGGCUUGGAUGCCCUGAGGAGGGCCUCAAAUCACAGAAUGAUGAAGGUCUUCUGGAUGCAGUGGCAGGGCAGGAGAGGUAUUGCCCUGGGACUCGAGAUGGGACCACAGCCAAUUGCUCACUCAGCCAUGGCCUGUGGGUCUGACACUGGGACCUCACUAACCCUCUUUUAACACUCCUAUCUGUAAGUAGGGAUCAUGACCCACACUUUGCAGGGGUUCUGAUGCUGCAAAAUUCUGGCGCUUUCUACAUGAUAAGGUCUUUGCUCACCAAAUGGAAGAGACUGCGUGCAGGUAGCAUGGGCCUGCCUACUGCAGGUGGGGUGCUUUGGGCUGCAAGUAACAGAAAAUCCAACUCAAAGUGAAUUGUGUGAUAAAGACAAUGCACCACCUCGCUUAUCAUGGUCUGAGUUCCUCCAUGAGGGUUGCCGCCUGGUGCGUCCUCUGUAAGCUCCCUGAAGCAGGGGCCUAGGCUGACCUUUUUUCUCCACUGCCCCCGAGAGCAUAGACCAGGGCCUGGCACAGAGAAGGCGUCCAGUGAGGAUUCCACCCAGGACACCAUCAAACCCUCAUCGCUACAUGGUCUAUUAAGUUGUGUUCCCCCAACAGCAGUUAAAGAAACCAAAGCUUGGCCAGGCACGGUGGCUCACGCCUGUAAUCCCAGCACUUUGGGAGGCCGAGGUGGGUGGGUCACUUGAGGUCAGGAGUUCGAGACCAGCCUGACCAAUAUGGUGAAAUCCCAUCUCUACUAAAAAUAAGAAUACAAAAAUUAGCUGGGCGUGGUGGCAUGUGCCUGUAGUCUCAGCUACUCAGGAGGCUGAGACAGGAGAAUUGCUUGAACCUGGGAGGCGGAGGUUGCAGUGAGCCAAGAUUGCGCCAUUGCACUCCAACCUGGGCAAUGAGAGUGAAACUCCGUCUAAAAAAAAAAAAAAGAAGAAGAAGAAAGAAACUAGAAACUAAAGCUAAGGGAAGAUAAAUUACCUGCAUGACAUAUUGAAGCACACAGAGGACAGUCCUGGCAUUCCCUACUCUGGGCUCUGGCCAUAACCCUGACAACCCUGCUACUCUACUGUCCUCCCUGGCCUCUCUCAGGCCAGUUUGUCCUCAGAUCGGGCAGUGUGGGAGUUGACAAACCAGUCAACCCAGACUCAGAUGACGCAGAAGUCUGCCCAACACAGAAGUCCACCAACCAUUGCAUUGUGAUCAUUGCACCGAGGACAUAAAUUCAGCAACAUGUGCUGGGUCAGCUGCCUCGUUUUUCUCCAAAGUAGCAAAUUUAUGGGGCACACGUGCACAUGGGUGAUUAUUUCCCAAUAGUUUAUAGUAUCAAGCCUCCUUUCUUUCCUCCCAAUAAAUCUAAUUUAUAUGGAUUGGCAGAUCAAACAGUGCAUUUCCUGGCAUCGAGAGGCUGUGAGUCACUCACAGUGCUUUAGGAAACUUGGGGAGAUUAAGGUUUUGCAUAAUGCAAAUGCGGAUGGAAACAUAUUUGGACUGCCUCGCUGUGGAUGCAAUUAGAGCAAUGAGCACCAGGAGAAAUACUUUUUCCCAGGACACAGCAAGGUCUGCUUGGUAUGCAAAGAGCACAGUUAUUUGCGACACCAGAGCCUGGAACGUGGUGAGCAAAGCACCCAGUGACGGUUUGAUUUGCAGCUUUAAGGAAUUCAAAGAUGAAUAAAACAUUAAAUUAAUUGCCAAAGAACUGUUGCCAAGCCUGCAUGAGAUCUAAUGAAGGCACACAUGCAAAAAACCAACACACACAGAACAACAAACCAAAACUGGGCCUGCGGGAUGCUACCUGCCCCAAGCCCCCGAAACCACAUUUGGUUUUGAGUAUUUUGUCCUACUUGGAAUUUUCUCUCAUCAAUACUCAUCUCAAGUCCUCUCAGCCACGAAAGCUCUCUCCGCUUCCCCCAGCCCACAGGACGCUCCUUCGACUGUUUCCUUGUUCACUGGGGAAAUGUUGACUGAGCACCUGCUAUGUGUCAGGCACUGCUUUCCCAGACGCUGGGGAAACAGCACUGAACGAACCAGGCCACAAUCCCUGCCCUGGUGGCUGCCUUCCUGCGGGGAGUAUGAUAAUAAGCAAAAUAGAGAAAUUAAUAUAUUGGAAAGUGCUCAGUGCUACGGAGAAAACAAAGAUGAAGUGGGGAUAGGAAAUGCCGGGAGGUAGGGUCAAUCGCAGAUUGAGGCAAAGGGGUCAGGGAGGUCCCAAGAUGGGGGACAUUUGUACAGAUCCCUGAAGGAGGUGAGGGUGGUGACUACGAGGAAUGUCAGGCAGAGGGAAUAGCAAGGGGAGAGGCCCGGAGUGGAGGUUCCCGAGUGUUUGAGAACCUGUGGAAGCUGGUGUGGCCGAGUAAGUUAGGGGGAGAGUGAUGGUGAUGCACCCAGACAAGGAGCAGGACCAAGGUCACAUAAAGUCAAUGCAUUAAUUCACCUUUCAAUUCAUUCAUUCACUUACUCAACGAAUCUUUUGAGGCUCUACUGUGAGCCAGGACCUGCUAUUUUAGAUCCUGAAAAUCCAACAUUAGACGUGACAGGCAAGGUCCCAGCUCUCACGGGGCUGUGUAAUGGUGGCUGAUCCGGGAGCAGGAGGGAAGUUACUUUGUUGAGGUGAGUGGGGAAGCCCAAUCGCCACUCGCCUCUAGGUCCACAAUCCCAGCAGAAUUCCCUCUUUUGUUUGCUCUUAGGUGAUUCUUGUCUUCCCCAUAAGCCCAUUUAGCAGAUGAGAAAACUAAGGUUCCUUUGGAAUGGAAGUCCUGGCUUCUCUCCAUAAAGUCUGGAAAUUAGAGGGAGUAGAAUUAACUCCCUUUUCCUUUGCACAGGGCCAGCAUGAGGCUUUGGGGAGGUUCUGAGGCAGGAGACAUCCUACGUCAUCUCCACAGGUCAUGAACCCUAUAGCAUCUCCCACCAAGAGGGUCACGGACCCUACAGCAUCUCCCACCAGGAGGGCCAUGACCAGCCUCUGGGGCUGUGCUGCUGCAUGCCAAGGAGUAGCUGAAUCCUAGGAGUGGAGAAUCCCCAGCCUGGAAGGGGACCCCCUCCACCGACUGCCAUCACUCUGGGGCUCUCUGGCUUGAGGGCUCUCUGGGGCCACGAGGCCAGGCCUCCUCUCCACGUCCAAACAGGCUGGCUGGGUGCAAAAUGCCAUGGUGCUUGCUCUGGAUGGGCUGGAGUUUUCCCUAUUCAGGGGCCAGGGCAAUGGGUGGAGGGCCUGGGUAGAGAGGCAGAGCACGGUUGCGUCCAGGCUGUGCCACCCUGACCCUGAACUCAGGCCCACAGGAGGCUCCAGGCAACAGCUGCUCUCUCCUCUGCUGGGGCCUCCUGCCUGGAAAGCCUGCUCCCACCCACAAUGCCUAGAUUCCUCCCUCCAAGCAGCCUUAGAGACCCCUUUGGGAUCCAGAUCUGCUCUGCUCCUCACCCUGGGGAUCUGGGUGUCACUUUAAAUAAAGGGACCGCUCGUGCUCACCAGGCUGCGGGAUAUUCAGAGGCUGGGCUGGCAGUUCCCAUCCCGUGGUCGCAGAGUGCUAUGGAGGGGAGAUAAUAGGUGUGAUUUCUGUGCAGAGGAUGGACAGGGCUCCAGGGACAGAGGAUGCAGGAGUGACAGGCAUCAUCAGAUACCAUUUGUCCAGCAGCCGCUCCAGCCACCUGGUGUGGAUGUGGCCUCGUGUCCAUACUCUCCAGAGCACCCGGCUUAGUGGCUAUCUGCCUGGCUGUCUCUCCCAUUUUCAUGUGAAAGGGGGCCAGGCAGGACAUGGGGUCUGGGGACUGCCAUCUCCUCCUGGGGGCUGCACUGUGCUGACAGUCUUGUGUCCCCCUGACAGGGGCUGCACAGACGGGCCAGGCAGAAGUGAAGGAGAAGAAGGAAGCCAACAGAAGGUGGCUUUCAGGGCUGGUCACGCAGAGGGUGGAUUCUGACGGGCAGGGCUGCUGUGGGUGGUGGGCACCAUCUAUGCUCAUCCCUGCCCAGGCAGCUCUGGGCUCCCCCAGCUCAGGUGGGCCCCCUCCUCACCCAGGGCGCAGCUGUGGCUGGCAGCAGGCAUUCACCCCCUUCUCAGCUGCUCAGCCAUGGAACCAGGAGCUAACUCAAUUCCUCUGUCCCCAAAGUCUGUGCCCACCAGGCCAUCCGCC